rnacentral:lncRNA from 1 species
AAAAAAUAAAUUAAAGACUUUUUAGAGUUUAUUGAAAAUGAAGCCACAACAUACCCAAAUUUAUGGGACACAAUGAAAGCAUUUCUAAGAGGAAAACUCAUACCUCUGAGUACCUCCUAAAAGAAAGUAGAGAGAGCACACACUAACAGCUUGACAACACAGCUGAAAGCUCUAGAACAAAAAGAAGCAAAUUCACCCAAGUACAGUAGAAGGCAGGAAAUAAUCACACUCAGGGGCAAAAUUUACCAAGUGGAAAGAAGAAGAAUUACUCAAAGAAUCAAUCGAACGAGGAGCUGGUUCUUUGAGAAAAUCAACAAGAGAGAUAAACCCUUUGCCAGACUCACUAGAGGGCACAGGGACAGCAUCCUAAUUAACAAAAUCAGAAAUGAAAAGGGAGACAUAACAACAGAUCCUGAAGAAAUCCAAAACACCAUCAGAUCCUUCUACAAAAGGCUAUACUCAACAAAACUAGAAAACCUGGAUGAAAUGGACAAAUUUCUAGACAGAUACCAGGUACCACAGACUGAUUUCCAGAGUGGUUGUAUAAGCUUGCAAUUCCACCAACAAUGGAGGAGUGUUUCUCUUUCCCCACAUCCUUGCCAGCAUCUUCUGUCACCUGAAGUUUUGAUCUUAGUCAUUCUGACUGGUGUGAGGUGGAAUCUCAUGGUGGUUUUGAUUUGAAUUUCCCUGAUGAUUAAGGAUGCUGAACAUUUUUUCAGGUGCUUCUCAUCCAUUCGGUAUUCCUCAGGUGAGAAUUCUUUGUUUAGCUCUGAGCCCCAAUUUUUAAUGGGGUUAUUUGAUUUUCUGGAGUUCACCUUCUUGUGUUCUUUAUAUAUAUUAGAUACUAGUCCCAUGUAAAGAUUUAGGAUAUGUAACAAUCGUUUCCCAAUAUGUUAGUGGCCUUUUUGUCUUAUUGAGGGUGUAUUUUGCCUUACAGAAGCUUUGCAAUUUUAUGAGGUCCCAUUUGUAGAUUCUCGAUCUUACAGCACGAGCCAUUGCUGUUCUACUCAGGAAUUUUCCCCUGUGCCCAUAUCUUUGAGACUUUUCCCCACUUUCUCCUCUAUAAGUUUCACUGUCUCUGGUUUUAUGUGGAGUUCCUUGAUCCACUUAGAUUUGACCUUAGUACAAGGAGAUAGGAAUGGAUCAAUUUGCAUUCUUCUACAUGACAAUCGUCAGUUUGUCAACAGGAUUUUUUGAAAAUGCUGUCUGUUUUCCACUGGAUGGUUUUAGCUCCCUUGUCAAAGAUCAAGUGACCAUAGGUGUGUGGGUUCAUUUCUGUGUCUUCAAUACUGUGUCUGUCGCUAUACCAGUACCAUGCAGUUUUUAAUCACAAUUGCUCUCUAGUACAGCUUUAGGUCAGGCAUGGUGAUUCCCCCAGAGGUUCUUUUAUCCUUGAGAAGAUUUUUUGCUAUCCUGGGUUUUUUGUUAUUCCAGAUGAAUUCACAGAUUGCUCUAAUUUGUUGAAGAAUUGAGUUGGAAUUUUGAUGGAGAUUGCAUUGAAUCUGUAGAUAGCUUUUGACAAGAUAACCAUUUUUACUAUAUUUAUCCUGUCAAUCCAUGAGUAUGGGAGAUCUUUCCAUCUUCUGAGAUCUUCUUUAAUUUCUUUCUUCAGAGACUUGAAGUUCUUAUCAUACAGAUCUUUCUCUUCCUUAGUUAGAGUCACACCAAGGUAUUUUAUAUUAUUUGUGACUAUUGAGAAGGAUGUUUCACUAAUUUCUUUCUCAGCCUGUUUAUUCUUUGUGUAGAGAAAGGCCAUUGACUUGUUUGAGUUAAUUUUAUAUCCAGCUAUUUAUUUGAACUUUGAACUUUCUACCAUGUAAUGACAUAGAACAAACCUCUCACCAGAAACUGUCACUGUGUCCUUGAGCCCUCCAGCCUCCAGAACCAUGAACAAAAUAAACUCCAUUUACCCAUUUCAUGCAUUCUAUUGUGAUAAUGGGAAAUGGUCUGAGAUGCCUCAUUACUGAUUGCUAAAGAUUAAUAUGAUUGCUUGUGUGGGCUGCAGUAAGCCGUGAGAGUUCCCCCUCGAGUAUCUUGGGCAUGCCUACUCUCUUCCCAUAGUGUCUUCCAAGUUCAUGCCUCACUGGCAUGCCCAUAGACCAACCUAUCAAGGCAAUUACCCACUGAGAAUCUAUUUCAAGAUUAUUUUAAGUUGUGUAAGGCUGACAAUUAUAAAAUACAUAUCAUGCAUAGAAUCACAUGACUUUUUUUUAGAGAGACUGUGGAGUUUUGUGGGGUUUGGUGUUUCAGGAGUAUUUUGUCUUUGGUUUUGGUUUAAGAUGGUGUCUCAGUAUAUGGCUUUGGCUGGCCUUGAAGAUGUCUUAAAGACAUCUUCUCACCUCUGCCUGACUGCUGUAAUGUAAAAAAUGUGCCACCAAACCCAGCUGUCACUUGAUGCUUUGUAUCUCAUAAUAAAUGAUGGAGCCUUCU